rnacentral:rRNA from 1 species
UGAGGAAUAUUGGUCAAUGGACGCAAGUCUGAACCAGCCAAGUAGCGUGCAGGAUGACGGCCCUAUGGGUUGUAAACUGCUUUUAUAUGGGGAUAAAGUGGGGAACGUGUUCCCUUUUGCAGGUACCAUAUGAAUAAGGACCGACUAAUUCCGUGCCAGCAGCCGCGGUAAUACGGAAGGUUCGGGCGUUAUCCGGAUUUAUUGGGUUUAAAGGGAGCGUAGGCCGUUUGGUAAGCGUGUUGUGAAAUGUAGGAGCUCAACUUCUAGAUUGCAGCGCGAACUGUCAGACUGGAGUGCGCACAACGUAGGCGGAAUUCAUGGUGUAGCGGUGAAAUGCUUAGAUAUCAUGAAGAACUCCGAUUGCGAAGGCAGCUUACGGGAGCGCAACUGACGCUGAAGCUCGAAGGUGCGGGUAUCGAACAGG